CGGGCCGUACUUGGCCCCGCUCCCUGCCGUGCGGAGAGCCGGGCGCGCGAGACGUGGCAGCGCCCCGGCUCCGGGGGCGGUGCACCCAGAAAGAAGCUCAGGAUCGCGGCUUCAAGUCCGACUGCCAUCGCAGACGGUCGGGCAAAAUCGCGAGCGGCGACAGACGGCUAGCUCUCAGCCCAGUGCCAGUCACAGAGAGAAACUUUGUUCCCACCCUUUGUUCCCUGCUCCACGGGACUCUAGCAGAUCAUAAAGACACAGUACCUUCCAUGUUAAAAUACAUGCUCAAGGCAGGAGUCGACUACUUUAUCAUACAAAAUGAAGACCCUGAGGCCCAGGGAAGUAAAAAGAUCUGCCCUACGUCACCCAGAGCCAGAACUCAGGACUCGCCCUGGCCGCACAGAGUUCUUUCCUGCAGUGCUCUGCAAACCGCCUCUGAAUUUACUCCAAGACCAGAGGACAAUCAGCUUUGGCUCCACAGAUCUGGUGCCGCAGUCCCAGGAUGGAACCACAGAUGGCAAAUUGCCCUGCAAUAGCACGUUUCUCUUCAGAAUUCGUGGAAAGCCGGCAUUCGAAACCACAGCAUGUCUGUCUUUGAACCUAUGAAUAACCUUGUGAUUAUUCACCCUCCAGUAAAAUCGAAGCCACACAUCUCUGCACAGUGUCUGAGCUAUGGCUUCAGGACCCCUCGGCACAGGCUGCGUCCCUGUGGGGUGCUGGAGCCCUUGUGUGGAAGGCCAUGCAUGCAUCACUCCCCGAUGGGGCCCUCUCAGACCCUCAGUGGAAGCAGGCAGGCACCAGCUGCUGGCUGUCAACUUGAGCUGUACAAUGACGCCCUUAUGUUUGUAUUUGCAAAGCCAUUCGAGAAGCAUCAGGUUGUUACUGAACUCCCACUGUGGACUCAGUGCUGUGCUGGAUGACACGGCACAAACACGGCCUCUGCCUGCGAGCAGCUGGCAGGCUGUUGAGGGAUCCCAGUUCCGGGCUUGUGAUGCAUUUUAAUCAGCUAGAGGGAGAGAUAGGGGUGCUAGGGAAGUGGACUUGAAGCAGGAAUGCCUCCCCAGGGAAGGAGCAGGUGGAGAGGCCAGGGGAGAGUGGCCCCCGGGGCAUGGGUGCAGCAGUGGGGAGCCACACGUGCCACAGGAACAUCCACAGUACUGCCCAAGGUGGAGGUGUGGAUGUCAGCUGGAAGAGGCCUUCCGGGGCACCCAGGUCAAGCCCCUUACUUCCCAGGAAUGGAAGUUGUGCAUGGAAGGUGACCCAGCCCGUUGGUCUCUUGAGAUCACCUGACAAAGUGCAGCCAGUUUUAUGUGGCUUGCCAGGUGAAAGAGGAGACCAGCUUGUCACUGGGGAGAGCCGAGGUGCUGGGAGGGUGUCACAUUCCCAGCCCUUCGCAAAGGGCCAGGCCCAAGACGCCCAGAGACCUCAGUCAGCUCACUUGGCCUCCCUAGUUCCACACUGCAAGUGAAUUAAAUGAGAUGAGGUACAGAAAGCGUAUAGAACAGGGCCUGAUGCUUAUCUAGUAAGGACUCACAAAUGGGAGCUAUUUUUUUAAAGAUUUUUUUUUUUUAAGUAAUCUCUGCACACGACAAGGGGCUCGAACUCACAGCCCUGAGAUCAAGAGGCACACGCUCUAUUGAUUGAGCCAGCCAGGUGCCCCACAAAUGGGAGCUAUUUUUGUUGCUGCUGUUGCUGUGAUAGAUGUUUGCUGAUUAUUUCACACUGACUAUAUUACAACCUGCUGAGAACUCUUUCGCUAAUUUAUAAGAUUUAUCACUGGAGCAGUGGUUUCAAACAUCGAGAUAUGUUAGAAUUACCUGAGGGGAACUGGUUCAGAAUUAGAUUUCAGGGGCACCUGGGUGGCACAGUCGUUAAGCGUCUGCCUUCAGCUCAGGGCGUGAUCCCGGUGUGAUGGGAUCGAGCCCCACAUCAGGCUCCUCUGCUGGGAGCCUGCUUCUUCCUCUCCCACUCCCCCUGCUUGUGUUCCCUCUCUCGCUGCCUGUCUCUCUGUGUCAAAUAAAUAAAUAAAAUCUUAAAAAAAAAAAUUAGAUUUCAGGGCCUAGCCCCUCCCAGUUGUAGUUCAGUAGGAGAUAUUUAUAUAUCUAGAUAUAUAGAUAUGUUAUCAAUCAUAUACAAUAUGUAUAUUAUAUGUAUUGUAUGUAUUUCUUUAUUGUUCACAAAUACCUCAGGCAAUUCAGUGCUGGUGGUUCGAGGACCCCAGGGAGAGAGGCUGCCUUGAGCUGGGAGUUGGUGUUCUCCUACUUCAUUUGAUUUUCUUAAAAUAAAUAAAUAAAAUUAUUUUAGAAAAAUAAUUCAAAGAGCACAGAAUCUUAUUAAGUGGAAGGAAACUCCCUGGACCCGCUUCUUCCACGCUUAUCUCUACAUUCCCACCCCGAGAUAAUCCUCGUUAACUGUGGUUGGUUUGUUUCCAGUAAUUAUCUGCGCCCAUACAAGCAUACCCACGAAUGCAUCUCUUUCCCCCCAUGCUCGCUUUGUGAAAAACACGAAUAGGAUCAUAGGAUAGAGCAGGGACUGGCAAUGUCUUCAGAAACAUGUUGAAUAGUAAAUAUUUUUCCGCUCUGCAGGCCAUACGGUCUCUGUCCCAACUACUAAACUCCCCUGCAGCUUGGGUCUCUGUCCCAACUACUAAACUCCCCUGCAGCUUGAAAGCAGCCACAAUUCACAAACGAAUGGGCGUGGCUGUGUUCCGAGGCCGCACUGGUGAGCAGGCGGGGUUUGGCUUGCGGGGCCGCAGUCAGCUGCCGGAAUACAGCCUUCUCUUAUCGCUUGUGUGUUGUAUCUUUUCCCUAUCAGCCCCUGGAGUGACUUUAUUCUUUAACUGCUACAUGGUACUGAGAACAUAUUUAGCCACUUCUCAAGUGGACAGCUAGCUAUUUUCCAGGUUUUGCUGUACUAAACUGCCAUACACUGUGUGCUUGGUUGACUAUUCUUAGUCAACCGGAAUGAAUUCUCAGAACAGAACUGCUGACUCAAAGGUAAUCUCUACACCCAACAUGGGGGCUCAAACUCCCGACCCUGAGAUCAAGAGUCGCAUGUGCUACUAACUGAGCCAGCCAGGCGCCCAAUAAUGAUCCUGUAUAAGACAAGAACCAACCACCUAAUAGCUGAGAC